GAUGAACGUUGGCGGUGUGCCUAAUACAUGCAAGUCGAACGGAGACAGUAGCAAUAUUGUCUUAGUGGCGAACGGGUGAGUAACGCGUUGGUGACCUGCCCCGAAGUGUGGAAUAACAGUUCGAAAGAAUUGCUAAUACCGCAUGUGAUCUUUGAGAUUAGAACCUCUUUGAUUAAAGGAUUUAUUCGCUUCGGGAGGGGCCUGCGUCCCAUCAGCUAGUUGGUAGGGUAAAAGCCUACCAAGGCUAUGACGGGUAGGGGACCUGAGAGGGUGGCCCCCCCACAAUGGAACUGAAACACGGUCCAUACACCUACGGGUGGCAGCAGUAGGGAAUAUUAGUAAUGGGCGAAAGCCUGAACUAGCAACACCGCGUGUGCGAUGAAGGCCUUCGGGCCGUAAAGCACUUUUCGGGAGGAUGAGGGAAGGACGGUACUCCCGGAAUAAGUCUCGGCUAACUACGUG
rnacentral:rRNA from 1 species